GAGACAGGUGAGGGGACACCUGGGGACACCGGGGGGUGGCACCUCCUGCUGAGCCAGGUGAGGGACACCAGGGUCACUUGGGGGGGUGGCACCUGCUGAGCCAGGUCAGGGACACGGGGACACCUGGGGGUGGCACCUCCUGACCAGGUGAGGGACACCUGGGGGUGGCACCUCCUGAGCCAGGUGAGGGACACCCGGGGGUGGCACCUCCUGAGCCAGGUGAGGGACAUGGGGACACCUGGGGGUGGCACCUCCUGAGCCAGGUGAGGGACACCCGGGGGUGGCACCUCCUGAGCCAGGUGAGGGACACGGGGACACCUGGGGGGUGGCACCUCCUGAGCCAGGUGAGGGACACCCGGGGGUGGCACCUCCUGAGCCAGGUCAGGGACACGGGGACACCUGGGGGUGGCACCUCCUGAGCCAGGUCAGGGACACGGGGACACCCGGGGGGUGGCACCUCCUGAGCCAGGUGAGGGACACCCGGGGUGGCACCGGCUGGCUGGCUCCCUGCCCGCUGAGGCCCAGUGCCAGGCACCCGGGCUGGCCUGGGCACCCCCGUGCCUUCCC